UACGUAGGGUGCGAGCGUUGUCCGGAAUUGUUGGGCGUAAAGAGCUUGUAGGCGGUUUGUCGCGUCUGCCGUGAAAAUCCGGGGCUCAACCCCGGACUUGCGGUGGGUACGGGCAGACUAGAGUGUGGUAGGGGAGACUGGAAUUCCUGGUGUAGCGGUGAAAUGCGCAGAUAUCAGGAGGAACACCGAUGGCGAAGGCAGGUCUCUGGGCCACUACUGACGCUGAGAAGCGAAAGCGUGGGGAGCGAACAGG
rnacentral:rRNA from 1 species